AUUGAACGCUGGCGGCAGGCUUAACACAUGCAAGUCGAGCGGGGUGAUGGUGCUUGCACUAUCACUUAGCGGCGGACGGGUGAGUAAUGCUUAGGAAUCUGCCUAUUAGUGGGGGACAACAUUUCGAAAGGAAUGCUAAUACCGCAUACGUCCUACGGGAGAAAGCAGGGGAUCUUCGGACCUUGCGCUAAUAGAUGAGCCUAAGUCGGAUUAGCUAGUUGGUGGGGUAAAGGCCUACCAAGGCGACGAUCUGUAGCGGGUCUGAGAGGAUGAUCCGCCACACUGGGACUGGAACACGGCCCAGACUCCUACGGGAGGCAGCAGUGGGGAAUAUUGGACAAUGGGGGGAACCCUGAUCCAGCCAUGCCGCGUGUGUGAAGAAGGCCUUAUGGUUGUAAAGCACUUUAAGCGAGGAGGAGGCUACUGAGACUAAUACUCUUGGAUAGUGGACGUUACUCGCAGAAUAAGCACCGGCUAACUCUGUGCCAGCCGCCGCCGUAAGAC
rnacentral:rRNA from 1 species